rnacentral:rRNA from 1 species
UACGUCAGCGGCAGACGGGUGAGUAACGCGUGGGAACGUACCUUUUGGUUCGGAACAACACAGGGAAACUUGUGCUAAUACCGGAUAAGCCCUUACGGGAAAGAUUUAUCGCCGAAAGAUCGGCCCGCGUCUGAUUAGCUAGUUGGUGUGGUAACGGCGCACCAAGGCGACGAUCAGUAGCUGGUCUGAGAGGAUGAUCAGCCUCACUGGGACUGAGACACGGCCCAG